rnacentral:ncRNA from 1 species
AUAUAGGCGAUGGAGUUCGCCAUUAAACGCUUAAAAGCUAAUGACUCCUACUCU